UACAGAGGGGGCAAGCGUUAUUCGGAAUUAUUGGGCGUAAAGGGCGCGUAGGCGGCCGUUCAAGUGGGAGGUGAAAUCCCUCGGCUUAACCGAGGAGCUGCCUCCCAAACUGAGUGGCUUGAGUCCGGGAGAGGUGAGUGGAAUUCCCAGUGUAGCGGUGAAAUGCGUAGAUAUUGGGAGGAACACCAGUGGCGAAGGCGGCUCACUGGACCGGCACUGACGCUGAGGCGCGAAAGCGUGGGGAGCAAACGGG
rnacentral:rRNA from 1 species